CCUACGGGAGGCAGCAGUGAGGAAUAUUGGUCAAUGGCCGAAGGGCUGAACCAGCCAAGUCGCGUGAGGGAAGACGGCCCUACGGGUUGUAAACCUCUUUUGCCGGGGAGCAAAGGCGGUCACUGGUGACCGGAUGAGAGUACCCGAAGAAAAAGCAUCGGCUAACUCCGUGCCAGCAGCCGCGGUAAU
rnacentral:rRNA from 1 species